GUGGGGAAUAUUGGACAAUGGGGGGAACCCUGAUCCAGUCAUGCCGCGUGUGUGAAGAAGGCCUUUUGGUUGUAAAGCACUUUAAGCGAGGAGGAGGCUUACCUGGUUAAUACCUAGGAUAAGUGGACGUUACUCGCAGAAUAAGCACCGGCUAACUCUGUGCCAGCAGCCGCGGUAAUACAGAGGGUGCGAGCGUUAAUCGGAUUUACUGGGCGUAAAGCGCGCGUAGGUGGUUAAUUAAGUCAAAUGUGAAAUCCCCGAGCUUAACUUGGGAAUUGCAUUCGAUACUGGUUAGCUAGAGUAUGGGAGAGGAUGGUAGAAUUCCAGGUGUAGCGGUGAAAUGCGUAGAGAUCUGGAGGAAUACCGAUGGCGAAGGCAGCCAUCUGGCCUAAUACUGACACUGAGGUGCGAAAGCAUGGGGAGCAAACAGGAUUAGAAACCCUGGUAGUCC
rnacentral:rRNA from 1 species